rnacentral:rRNA from 1 species
AUACGGAGGAUGCGAGCGUUAUCCGGAUUUAUUGGGUUUAAAGGGUGCGUAGGUGGUAGAUUAAGUCAGCGGUGAAAGUUUGUCGCUCAACGAUAAAAUUGCCGUUGGUACUGGUUUACUUGAGUAUAGUUGAAGUAGGCGGAAUGCGUGGUGUAGCGGUGAAAUGCAUAGAUAUCACGCAGAACUCCGAUUGCGAAGGCAGCUUACUAAGUUAUAACUGACACUGAAGCACGAAAGCGUGGGUAUCAAACAGGAUUAGAUACCCUGGUAGUCCACGCAGUAAACGAUGAAUACUCGCUGUUUGCGAUACACGGUAAGCGGCCAAGCGAAAGCGUUAAGUAUUCCACCUGGGGAGUACGCCGGCAACGGUGAAACUCAAAUGAAUUGACGGGG